ACCAAACAGCUAGCCCACCCAUUUAAAAUCAAAACAUCAUCAUCAAUAACCCCUAAAAUACGACCACAAGCAUAACCAAAUCAUUUUUCCUCCUAAGUACGGGCGACGGAAAGGGAGCUCGGAGCCAUAGACAAAGUACCGCAAGGGAAUGCUGAAAGAGAUAUGAAACAGCCCAGUAAAGUAACAAAAAGCAGAGAUCAACCCUCGUACCUUUUGCAUCAUGAUUUAGCCAGUCCCCCCAGGCAAAGAGAACUUUAGUCUGGCCCCCCGAAACUAAGUGAGCUACUCCAAGACAGCCUAUAAAGGGCCAACCCGUCUCUGUGGCAAAAGAGUGGGAAGAGCUUUGAGUAGAGGUGACAAAUCUACCGAACUUAGUAAUAGCUGGUUGCCUGGAAAAUGAAUAGAAGUUCAGCCUUCCAGUUUCUUCCCUCACACAGUUUUACCCCUCAGACACAAAGAAAUUAGAAGAGUUAAUCGAAGGGGGUACAGCCCCUUCGAACAAGAAACAACUUUUAUAGCCGGGUAAAGAUCAAAAUGACUUAAGGGAACAUGUCUAAGUGGGCUUAAAAGCAGCCAUCUAAGCAGAAAGCGUUAAAGCUCAGACAUACCCCACUUCCCCCAAUCCCGAUAAUGCCAUCUCAACCCCCUUUCCUUACCAGGCUGUUUUAUGCAAACAUAAAAGCACCCAUGCUAAUAUGAGUAAUAAGAAAGGCACCAGCCUUUCUCCCAGCACGCACAUACAUCGAAACGGACCUUCCAUCGAACAUUACCGGCCCCAAACAAAGAGGGUAACGAGCAACUAACAAACAACCAGAAAAUCACUCAUAAAAGACCGUUAAGCCUACACUGGCGUGCUUACUAGGAAAGACCAAAAGAAAAAGAAGGAACUCGGCAAACACAUUAGCCUCGCCUGUUUACCAAAAACAUCGCCUCUUGUGAAUUAAAAAUAAGAGGUCCCGCCUGCCCAGUGACACUAUGUUCAACGGCCGCGGUAUUCUGACCGUGCAAAGGUAGCGCAAUCACUUGUCUUUUAAAUGAAGACCCGUAUGAAUGGCAUAACGAGGGCCUAACUGUCUCCUUUUUCCGGUCAAUGAAAUUGAUCUCCCCGUGCAGAAGCGGGGCUACAACCAUAAGACGAGAAGACCCUGUGGAGCUUUAGACGCCAGGUCAGACCUUGUUAAACACCCCCCCCAACAUGGGAAACAACGAAAGGGCCCUGUCCUACUGUCUUCGGUUGGGGCGACCCCGGAGAACACAAAACCUCCAUGUGGAAUGGGAGUACUUCUCCCACAACCAAGAGUAGCUACUCUAAGCAAUAGAAUCUCUAACCAAAAGAUCCGGCAAAGCCGAUCAACGAACUAAGUUACCCCAGGGAUAACAGCGCAAUCCCCUUUCAGAGUCCCUAUCGACAAGGGGGUUUACGACCUCGAUGUUGGAUCAGGACAUCCUAAUGGUGCAACCGUUAUUAAGGGUUCGUUUGUUCAACGAUUAAAGUCCU
rnacentral:rRNA from 1 species